UACAGAGACUGCAAGCGUUAUUCGGAUUCACUGGGCGUAAAGGGUGCGCAGGCGGUUGUGUGUGUCAGGUGUGAAAGCCCGGGGCUUAACCCCGGAAUUGCGCCUGAAACUACAUGACUAGAGCAUUGGAGAGGGUAGCGGAAUUCACGGUGUAGCAGUGAAAUGCGUAGAGAUCGGAAAGAACACCAACGGCGAAAGCACUCUGCUGGGCCGACACUGACACUGAGAGACGAAAGCUAGGGGAGCGAAUGGG
rnacentral:rRNA from 1 species